ensembl:snRNA U6 U6 spliceosomal RNA
GUGCUCGCUUCGGCAGCACAUAUACUAAAAUUGGAAUGAUACAGAGAAGAUUAGCAUGGCCCCUGCUCAAGGAUGACCCAAAUUAAAACUUUCCAUGUAUAU